UGUCAGGUCUCUCACACCCUCUCGCCUGUGACCCGUGAUCAACUCUGAGGUUGCACUACGCUGCCUUGGGUAUCUCCAGUAAGAACAGCUUUGAGAGGUUAAGGUCUGUGGUGAAGGCCGAAGCCAACGGGCGGACCCAGCCUCUGUGACUCAAAGUCAGAAGUGGAUCAGGAGGCCUUCUGCUUCCUCAGGAAGGAUGGGGAGGGGCUGAGGAAGGCAGGUCUCUCCUCAUCUCUUCUCUGAAGCGAUCACAGCAACUCUGUCGACUCAGGCUAUAAUUUUCCACACAGACAAGGCUGCCUGGCUGACUGGUAGAGGGGGUUGGUAGGAACCACAGAAGAAGGAUAGGUGCAAAUAAACCCUUCAAAACCC